UACGAAGGGGGGCUAGCGUUGCUCGGAAGUCACUGGGCGUAAAGCGCACGUAGGCGGACUCUUAAGUCGGUGGUGAAAUCCUGGAGCUCAACUCCAGAACUGCCUUCGAUACUGAGAGUCUCGAGUCCGAGAGAGGUGAGUGGAACUGCGAGUGUAGAGGUGAAAUUCGUAGAUAUUCGCAAGAACACCAGUGGCGAAGGCGGCUCACUGGCUCGGUACUGACGCUGAGGUGCGAAAGCGUGGGGAGCAAACAGG
rnacentral:rRNA from 1 species